rnacentral:rRNA from 1 species
GAUGAACGCUAGCGGCAGGCCUAAUACAUGCAAGUCGAACGGGAUCUGAGGGUAGCUUGCUACCCGAUUUGAGAGUGGCGCACGGGUGCGUAACGCGUGAGCAACCUACCCAUAUCAGGGGGAUAGCACGAAGAAAUUCGGACUAACACCGCAUAAUAAUACGCUAACACAUGUUGAUGUAUUUAAAUAUUUAUAGGAUAUGGAUGGGCUCGCGUGACAUUAGCUAGUUGGUAAGGUAACGGCUAACCAAGGCGACGAUGUCUAGGGGCUCUGAGAGGAGAAUCCCCCACACUGGUACUGAGACACGGACCAGACUCCUACGGGAGGCAGCAGUAAGGAAUAUUGGUCAAUGGGCGCAAGCCUGAACCAGCCAUGCCGCGUGCAGGAUGACUGCCCUAUGGGUUGUAAACUGCUUUUGUUAGGGAAUAAACCUUCUUACGUGUAAGGAGCUGAAUGUACCUAAAGAAUAAGGAUCGGCUAACUCCGUGCCAGCCGCCGCAGUAA